GUUUCAGUCCGGGCCCCUCUGGCGACCCCUCCCGGGUCGUGAUGUCGGACGUGACGC
rfam:Skermanella stibiiresistens SB22 contig22, whole genome shotgun sequence.